CAGUAGCCGCGGUAAUACAGAGGGUGCGAGCGUUAAUCGGAUUUACUGGGCGUAAAGCGUGCGUAGGCGGCUAAUUGAGUCGGAUGUGAAAUCCACGAGCUUAACUUGGGAAUUGCAUUCGAUACUGGUUAGCUAGAGUGUGGGAGAGGAUGGUAGAAUUCCAGGUGUAGCGGUGAAAUGCGUAGAGAUCUGGAGGAAUACCGAUGGCGAAGGCAGCCAUCUGGCCUAACACUGACGCUGAGGUACGAAAGCAUGGGGAGCAAACAGGAUUAGAUACCCCCGUAGUCCCUGUCUCUUAUAA
rnacentral:rRNA from 1 species